AUGCGAACUGAAACCUCAGAGGUUUACAGUCAGUCACAGGGGCACAGCACACCAAUGUCACUUCAAGGCAUUUUUCCCAGUGAUGGCCAAGCACUACUAAUCUACUUUGCUAAAAUCCUGCAUCUUUAUUCACUCAUCUACAAAACUCCACGUGGUGAUUUGUGGAAGGGUCAUUUAGGAGCAGAGACAGUAAGAGCCCAGCAUGUGGACAUGGAGGUACGCACUGCCUGUUUGUCACACUUGGAAACUGCCUUGGGCUCCUCUGGCCCUGGAGGACCUGAAAGUCUUCCUAGGCUGCCCCAGCCCUCCUGGAUGGAAUGUGCUUUCAUGUGGGCCAGUGAGGACCACAAGAGGGAAAGCUGGAGAAUGGCGCGACUUGCCAUCUCACACACCCUCCCUUUAGCAGAACUAGAGAGCACAGAAAAUCCCUGAAGUAGGCUACAUGGAAUCACUGUGUGUUAAGUUGGACGUGUCUUGAAAUAAUUAAAUUAUAAAAGAUGACUUGCUCGUGGUAGUAAUAAUUAGCUUUUACACUGGGCCAGGCACUGUUUUCAGCAUCUUAUAUGUAUUAUUUCAAUUAGUCCUCAUCAACUGUGAGUUGUUUUCGUUUCACAGACAAGAAAACUGAGGCAUAGAAAGAUUUUAUCUUUGCUCCAUCACCAGACAGUAAAAGGAGGAGCUAGGAUUCAAACACUGACAGUCUGACUCCAGGGCCUUCCCUAUGAUGGGACAGAGUGGGCUGGAAAUGCCUGUUCUCCAGCAGCCCUCAGCGUGCCCCAGACAGCCUGCUUAGAGCUUCUCAGGUGGCCUUUCAGAAGUGCCCUGCACUUACAGCUUGCAUGUGCUAGUGGAUUAUUCUCUGUUGCUCUGAACUUUUGUUUUUCUAGUUAACAGCAUACCCUGGACAUCCAGGAAAGAGCUUUAAAAAUUACCUUGUCUUCAUUUUAAGAAUGAAAAUGAACUCAGGCCUAGGAAGGUUAAAUGAAAUGCCAAAUUGGAUCUCUAACAAUUUGGGAUCACCAACAUUCGAUGGCUUCCUGUUUGGCUUCAAAAUUUAUUCUGACACUUGACUUCCGUGGUGUUAGCCAGUCUCAUGUGGCAGAUCAGAGCUCUUAACAAUGUCACAUGAUGACCAGAGACCCUCCUUUCCUUUUCUUCCUCUCUUUAUCCUAUUUCUAUAGGAUCUUGCUUUGAGUUAGAUAACAACGGAUAGAAAUUAGUUGAUAGGAUAAACAAGGGCCCCUCAAACUUUCAUCAUUCUCGUGCAGUCUUCUCAUGACACCUGUUAAUAUUUAAUAUCUUUAUCACACCAAUAUAGUAAGUAAUAUAUUGAGUAUUCAAUAUUGAACACAAUUUGGAUACUAUUUGUCAAUGAAUAUAUUAAAUUAUCACUGUUAAACCCUGAAUUUGAUGUGCCAAUCAUAAUUUUAGAACAUAUAUUAAAAUAAAUACAUAAGCAUUAAAAUUCAAAAAAUUAAUCCAUUACUAUCAAGCAGUGAUAUACAACUCACAUUUUGGGAGACAUAGAAACCAAUCUUGCUAUGUCAGCCAGAUCAGAACCCCACAGAUUUAUCUAUGCAAAAGAC
rnacentral:lncRNA from 1 species